AACGAACGCUGGCGGCAGGCCUAAUACAUGCAAGUCGAACGCACCGCAAGGUGAGUGGCAGACGGGUGAGUAACGCGUGGGAACCUUCCUAGUAGUACGGAAUAACUCCGGGAAACCGGUGCUAAUACCGUAUAAGCCCUCCGGGGGAAGAUUUAUCGCUACUAGAUGGGCCCGCGUCGGAUUAGCUUGUUGGUGAGGUAAUGGCUCACCAAGGCUACGAUCCGUAACGGCCUGAGAGGCGUCGGUCACACUGACACUGACAUACGGGUCAGACUCCUACGGAGCAGCAGUCGGAAUUUCGGGCAAUGGGCGAAAGCCUGACCCAGCAACGCCGCGUGAAGGAUGAAAUCCUCGGGAUGU
rnacentral:rRNA from 1 species